rnacentral:lncRNA from 1 species
CUGAUCAUAACAUAACACACACAAGUGUACCCCAUAACCUCUUUGUAGCUGUUGACCAAAAACCUCUGUCUGUCUGUCCAAAUUUCUCUCACUGCCUUACAAAUAAAGACACCCUGUAUGCCUCUGCCUCUAUCAGGAGUUUUACACAAGAACAACCUUCUAUAAAGUAGUUGUAGCACACCCUCAUGCCGGUAUAACAACUUCUUAUGGGAUUACCCUUCGUGGGA